AAGUCGUAACAAGGUUUCCGUAGGUGAACCUGCGGAAGGAUCAUUAACAAAUUAUCCACACUCGUGUUUGGUUUGCCUUGUCCUCACCUACAUCAACAAUAUUUCUACUUUUCCUUUCUCCUCAUCGUCGUUAUCCAUCCCCCUUCACCCAUCCUUUAUCUUUUUAAAGGAAGGAAGGGGGGAGAGACAUUUGAGGAUUUAAAGAAUGGGAAAAGAAGAAAGAUGUAUGGUGGUGAAUGGUAUUACCAAUGAAAAACACAAAUAAUAACAUUCAAUAUUGACAACUUAUGGUGAGAGAACCAACAUGAUAAUAAGUGUAAAAACAACUUUUAACAAUGGAUCUCUCGGCUCUU
rnacentral:misc_RNA from 1 species